CACACACACACACACACACAUGCUGAUGGCUGAAAAGGUCACACACUACCUCCUGUGUCACCUCCACAUUCAUUUCAUAGUUUCCCUUCUGGUAAAACUCCCACUUCUGCUUUAAUAUUACCCCCCCCACCCUCCUCUCUCCACCAUGCAGCGCCACUCUGCUCUUCGUAAACAUGAGCGAUUGCAGGGUCAGACUCAACCAGGUACAUUUUUCCUGCGAUUAUCCAAUAAGUCCCCAUGGCAACGGCAUCACAACAACACGUGGAUUCACACAGUUUAAUGUGCUUUGCAUCACCUCGUUAUUAGAUUACCUGUCAUCUGAGCUGAAAAAUGUCUGAAACUGCAAAUGCUCGGCGAAUGACAUAAUCUGGCAGCCAGAUUGCCAGAUUGCUGCUGGUUUUAUGUUUUUUUUUUUUUUUUUCCAGCUACAGACGGAGAGCUUUACGUUACGUUUACCGCAACCCUUUUCUGUCGCUGAUGGGAGUAAUCUCUGAGUCCAAAAGCCUUUUGGCUUCAUGUCAACAACUGAAACUUAUAGUCCCACGACAAUGGCCGUUUGCUAAGCAAUGAGAGUAAUGCACUUUUACAUUGAUUUGCCUGUUGUGGCGAAUGGAAAUUUAUAGUCCCCUGAACGAGUAUUCAUGAGUUCUGAAAUUUCAUCAUGUUGCAACAAGGAAAUUCACUCGAUUUUAGUGGGAUUUUAUGUGAAAGAUCUACACAGAGUGCUGCAUAAUUACAAGGUGGAAGAGAAAGAUUUUUUGCAAAAUGGUUCAAGGCAGGAGAGUUAAAUUGGAGGAAGAGGCUUGGGGUUAGCUCUGUGUUUAGCUGAUUUAGAAUGAGAUGUUUUGUGAAAAGCAGUCCUCAGGUGAGCGAAUCGCAGUGAAGAUAUGCCAAAUCCGCAGCGGUCACUCCGCUAAAAAGUUGUUUCCAAAGUGUUUCCCUCAGUGACUCCAGACACACUCACCAAACCUUCCAGAUGUUUAACCAAUAAAAAUGUAAAAACCACAAAUAUUUGUGUUUCUCUGUGUUGAAUUGCCUCGAGAAAUGACACCGACGUUCUCAAGACGUGUUGCAAAAUUUGUCAAACGUUUUUACGCGGCACUGACACUGACUUUGCUGGCCGACAUCGUCCAGAAUGUUCCUUUCUUCUUAAGUAUAUUGUCGGCAGCAUGUGGCCUCCGUAGAGCCCAAACCGACAACACCAACAUCCUCAACCCAUCUAAGAACUCAAUUUAGCCUCAGCUGCACGACUAAUUUGAUGAAUAGCUGGGACACACACACACACAUACACACACACACACAACAAAUAUAGCUCAGUUUCAACUUGAGAGCAAAUUACAGUGCUCCACUCCGGUGGAUGUUUGCCAUGUGGUCCUGACAUGUUCCUGUCGGCGAGAGGCAGAGAGUAAUGAUGUCACUCGCAGGAGAUGUUCUUUUGUCGCUUCAGCCAAUGGGAGAAAAAGGAGGGAACCGCGAGGCACGCUGCUGUGAGGCAGAAGACGGCUCUCUGGCAGGAGAAGGGCUCUCCAAAGUGACGACGGAGGCUUUAGCCUCUGAUAAGCUCUGGGCCUCGUUCCAGAAAACCCCCACAAGCUACUAUAUGUUUUACUGGGAUCUCAUGGGAGGUGUGUUGGAGCGUGUGCGAACGUCAGUUUUCAGGUUCCAGGUCGCUGUUCUGCGUUGAGGUUAACCUUUUCUUCAGGUUUGAGUCCUCUGCAGUUCUCUGACAGGUUUUCCGUCCCAUAUUUUGAUCCUUCCGUCGACUUUUGAGAUGUUUCCAUUUUACUGCUGAAGAAAAGUUUUCCACCACGCAGCAUUUUGCAUGCAAGUCAGGAAACAAUAAAAGACGAUAAAAGAAAAUCACA